rnacentral:rRNA from 1 species
GAGUUUGAUCCUGGCUCAGAUUGAACGCUGGCGGCAGGCCUAACACAUGCAAGUCGAGCGGAUGAAGGGAGCAUGCUCCUGGAUUCAGCGGCGGACGGGUGAGUAAUGCCUAGGAAUCUGCCUGGUAGUGGGGGGAUAACGUCCGGAAACGGGCGCUAAUACCGCAUACGUCCUGAGGGAGAAAGUGGGGGAUCUUCGGACCUCACGCUAUCAGACGAGCCUAGGUCGGAUUAGCUAGUUGGUGGGGUAAAGGCCUACCAAGGCGACGAUCCGUAACUGGUCUGAGAGGAUGAUCAGUCACACUGGAACUGAGACACGGUCCAGACUCCUACGGGAGGCAGCAGUGGGGAAUAUUGGACAAUGGCGAAAGCCUGAUCCAGCCAUGCCGCGUGUGUGAGAAGGUCUUCGGAUUGUAGAGCACUUUAAGUUGGGAGGAAGGGCAGUAAGUUAAUACCUUGCUGUUUUGACGUUACCAACAGAAUAAGCACCGGCUAACUUCGUGCCAGCAGCCGACCGG